rnacentral:rRNA from 2 species
UUUAUAUGAGAGUUUGAUCCUGGCUCAGGAUGAACGCUGGCGGCGUGCCUAAUACAUGCAAGUCGAACGAGUUCUCGUUGAUGAUUGGUGCUUGCACCGAGAUUCAACAUGGAACGAGUGGCGGACGGGUGAGUAACACGUGGGUAACCUGCCCUUAAGUGGGGGAUAACAUUUGGAAACAGAUGCUAAUACCGCAUAGAUCCAAGAACCGCAUGGUUCUUGGCUGAAAGAUGGCGUAAGCUAUCGCUUUUGGAUGGACCCGCGGCGUAUUAGCUAGUUGGUGAGGUAAUGGCUCACCAAGGCGAUGAUACGUAGCCGAACUGAGAGGUUGAUCGGCCACAUUGGGACUGAGACACGGCCCAAACUCCUACGGGAGGCAGCAGUAGGGAAUCUUCCACAAUGGACGCAA